UACGUAGGGUGCGAGCGUUAAUCGGAAUUACUGGGCGUAAAGCGCACGUAGGCGGUUUUUUAAGUCAGAUGUGAAAGCCCCGGGCUCAACCUGGGAAUUGCAUUUGAAACUGGCCAACUAGAGUACGUGAGAGGGGGGUAGAAUUCCAAGUGUAGCGGUGAAAUGCGUAGAGAUUUGGAGGAAUACCAGUGGCGAAGGCGGCCCCCUGGCACGAUACUGACGCUCAGGUGCGAAAGCGUGGGGAGCAAACAGG
rnacentral:rRNA from 1 species